GGUCCUCGGCUAGUAACACACUGGAGAUGUACGGUCGCUGUUUGACUUUUGACACCACCAGACACUUGUAAGGCAGAGGAGAUCUUUCUAUAUAUGGACAUUUUUAAUUCAUGUAAUUUAUUAAAAACAUAACGUUUCAAAAUAUUUCAUGCAAAUUCGUUCAAUUUAGGUUAGCUAAGAAAUGCUUUCCCCUUGGUAUGCUAGCACUAUCCAGUGAGUAUAUCUACACCUCAAGGUAGUGGGUUGUCAAUUACCAACACUACAUUAUACGACAAAAUUGUUAAUGUUACCAUUUCCACAAGUUAGAUUUACUGGAUAGAACUUCACUUACCAUUUUCUUUUUCUGUUUUCCGCCACGAAAUAUCCAACUGCUCACUCUUCAUCAAGCGCCAAAAGAAAGGUCAGACUUUCGCGGGUUCUUUUUGGUGAUUGGAUGGAAACUGCAAGCACCAGAAGGAAGUAGGCGGGUGGUAAAUACUGACUGGUACACAGGAAUGUCAAUCAUUAUUCUGCGAGAAUUCAUUGGCUGUCCGCAUUUUUCCAUGGUCGAGGGAACUUCGAGUUCAGAUCGCCAAGGAGCUGUGUUUUCUCUAUCGCUCCAAGACUUUUGAAAAUGGUGUCACAUUACAAGCUUUUAAGUAGAAUACAUUUUAGACAAUCUCCCAAAGAAAAACAUAGGUUUUGAAAGUGGUUAAUGAAACAAGCUCUACUUCGAAAAUCAAUGAAUUGUCCCUCUUGCUGUCAUCUCAUGAAGUUGAGAAAGCCAUAUGGCACAAGGGAGUCAGCCUGGUGAGUAUGCCUGUACUUUUUGUUAGUCUAUAGGGGAAAACUGUUAUCAUUUAUUUUUAUGCAUUAUAUCAGGGUAAUAUGUCUAAACUGGAGCAAGUGAUGUAGGCUACUGAUGGAUUUGAUAUAUCAUAGACAAGUAUGAACAUAUUCACCAUAGGCUUUCCUUGCUUGAUAACUUUGUGUAGCUAUAUUGGCAUGGCAUGUUUUGACCACUGCUGUCUACUCAAAAAUAACCUCAAUAUUUAAUUGUCAGGAUAUGCCGAGAUUCUUGUCACAAAAGGAAAUCAGUGACCAGGUCCAUCCGAAAUGGUUCUGUUUAAAUUCUCAUGUUGGGCUGCACACAUGGAUGCAUUUAAUAUACAGAGGGUCUGGUCUGGUCUGAGAAAGGAUUAUGCAUCAGCAAAGAAAAUGGGCUUAAGAUACGGUAAUCAAUGACAAUUUAAGAAAUUGACUUCAACAGCCACCUCUAAAUUUCAGAAUUUUGAUUUAUCUAUUACAGGUUUGCUCAAGGUCUUCGUUUGCGGCAAGUGGACAUGCUACAGGAAGGGAUAACUGGGAGCUCUGCAACCCUGAGCAAACUUGCUGACAAGAUGCGGAGAGUUUGCAAAUCUGCGAUGAAGAGAAUGAGGAGGAGAGGCAAACAAGCUGUUGGAAGAAGAGGAGAACUCGUUAUGAUCGAUGAAAGCAAAUUUGGCCAUAAAAGAAAGUAUAACAGAGGAUGGGCCUGUAACCGAAGUUCAUGGGUGUUCGGAAUGCUAGGCCUCAAGGAUGACAGAAGGAGACCCAUUCUUAAGAUUGUGCGCCACCGUUCAGCAGGCCAUCUCAUGCCCCUUAUAAAGAAGCAUGUUCGACGGGGCAGCUCCAUUAUUUCAGAUGGAUGGAGGUCUUAUCACCAUCUUCAGAAUGAAGGUUAUAAUCAUCUGACUGUGAACCAUCAGGAAUAUUUUGUCGACCCCAUACAGGUGCACAUACACAGAACCUGGAACGUCUUUGGGGUGUUUGCAAGUCAACUAUAUGGAGACUAAGAGGGAACCGCACUCAAAAUAUGUUGAAAGAUCACUUAGAUGUAAUUGAGUGGACCUACUGGCGUGGAAACCAAUACAAAGAUGGACCACUAGGAAUGCUGUUACAUGACAUUAAGAAAAAAUAUCCUGUGAGAAAUGCAUGAGUCCUGUACUAUACUGUUCAUAAUGCGAGUUCAUACAACCAUUACAUUUUUUUUGGAUUGAUUCACUCUGGAUGUCUUCUUUACAUUUUUGGAAUUUAAAACUUUGUAGAAGGGAAGGGAACUAUAAGCAUAUUAAAGAUUUGUAUGCUAUCUCGUAUUCAUUACAUUAAUAAAAGAGAUAUUU
ensembl:lncRNA